rnacentral:lncRNA from 1 species
UUCCUGUAUAGUUUCAGACUUUGAAUCAAAUAUAUACUUUAUAUAUAUAAGGUAGUUUGUGGUGUAUGUUUAGGAGGUACCAAGUAGGAACUCUGUGUGGGGGUUCUGACCCCACAUUUCCCAGGGCUUCAAGUUGCUUCCACUCAUGGUAGAUGGGGAAGGAGAGCCAGCAUUUGCAAAGAUCACAUGUUGAGAUAGGAAGCAAGAGAGAUAGGGGAGAUGCCAGGCUCUUUGUAUUGAUCAGCUUUCGCAGGAACUAACCUGCCUCAAUGUAACAGCAAUAAGAUACUUACCAGAAUGUGGGCCAGCUGUGAGUAGCAUUUAGAUGGUCAUAAUACUGAUUCAAAAACCAUUUUUUAUGUGUAUGUGUGAAUGUUGGAUGUCAUAGCAUUGUAGGUCAACAGAGCUAAUACUCAGUUUAAGAAUAAGACAGUCAAUAGUUAAUACCUAAUAUUUUAAGAGGAAAAAAAGGAAGAACAUUGGGGCAAGGGAACUACAGAUAUUAUGCAAGUCCAAUAAUGAAAUUAACUCACUCAUCUCCACAGAGUAUACCGUUAUAAGGCUUGGCUGAAGACAAUAUGAUGCAGGAAGAGAAAAUGAGUGUUGUAAAGUUUAGUGAUUUAGAGCAUCUUCAAGGGUUUAUCAGUCAUUUAUACAUCUUUGAGGAAAAAUAUCUGUUCAAGUGUCUUGUCUAUUUACCAUUUAGUCCUGAUAGCUGCCUGUGUGAUUACUAUAUACUUGAGAAUAAUUUUACUAAUAUGCUAUAUGAAGACUACCCAAAUAUAAACAAACAUAACCUAUUCAGAGUUUCCUACAGCAAGCUUGAGUGUGACAGAGAUUCAAAUGCAGGCAGGGGAGUGAGAAUGCUAUAUAGUGAACAAAUAGAAGGUUUCAGGUACACUCUGAUUAGAGGUCAUGAGGAUGCUCAAACUCAGCUAACUAACAGCAGGACAUAUUCUGUGGUUGGUUUUGGGAGUACAUUUGAUUUUACUUGGUUGGUCAUGAGUUGGAAGCAGGGAGAAAAAUAGGUAAGCAGUCAUACGCUGUCACGACCAAGUCCUGACAAUUCUGGGCCAGUUGAUGCAGAGGUUGUGGUUUGCAUUCUUGCGCUUAUUGUGAUAUGCAGUCUGGUCAUUGCUUAUUUGUAUAUUCAGUCUCUAAGCUCUGUGGUCCAUUAUUUCAAACUUGGAUCACAAUAAAGUAAUAAGAUAUUAUUCAUCACUUUAUAGUUGUAUGUUUAAAUGAAAUAAAUAUUAGAUUAGUUGUAAAUGAAAAUGACAGCUCAAUUUGUAACUCCAUUAAUAAUUUUGUUAUAUUUAUGUGAAACAUACUCCCUUAAUGUAUAUUUCCAAACACUCUCAUUAGCUAUCUCUUCACUGUAUAGUCAAAAAUAAUUUCAGAUCGUUGAUGUCAGCAAGAUGGCAGAAUAGAAGGAUAGAGUCUCUCCUUUCCCCCAUGGAGACAAAGACUCAACAACAAUGCAUGAAUCAAUUUCUUUUGUGAGAAAUACAGUUAAAGGUUAAAAGUCUCCCGCACCCCAGGUGAUUCAAAACCAGCAGCAUCAAAGGUAGCAGGAAAAUUUGUGGUACUGAAUUAUCUUUGUUCUGUCUCUUGUUCAGCCCCAUGUGAUCAUAGGAGACUUCUACUCCUGGCUUCUCCCUAAAGAAAGAAAGAGAAGACUGCAGCAUAUCUCCAACAUUCUGACGAUUCAGAAAGACUGAUCAAGGGACUGGCUUUUAUCUUACCACAUUCAAAGAGCUGAUAGUGAAAGGCAACAGACUGAGAGACACUGAGGACAAAGGCUUUUUUUUUUUUUUUCACUGCAUGCAUCCUCUCACCGUAGUCUGUCC